rnacentral:tRNA from 1 species
GCCAGUGUGGCAUAAUGGUUUGAGUGUUGGACUAGGACUCUGGAGACCAGGGUUUGAUUCCUGCUUGGCCA